CCUACGGGAGGCAGCAGUGGGGAAUAUUGGGCAAUGGGCGCAAGCCUGACCCAGCAACGCCGCGUGAAGGAAGAAGGCUUUCGGGUUGUAAACUUCUUUUCUCAGGGACGAAGCAAGUGACGGUACCUGAGGAAUAAGUCACGGCUAACUACGUGCAAGCAGCCGCGGUAAUACGUCGGUGGCAAGCGUUAUCCGGAUUUACUGGGUGUAAAGGGCGUGUAGGCGGGGACGCAAGUCAGAUGUGAAAGCCACGGGCUCAACCUGUGGUCUGCAUUUGAAACUGUGUUUCUUGAGUACUGGGGAGGCAGACGGAAUUCCUAGUGUAGCGGUGAAAUGCGUAGAUAUUAGGAGGAACACCAGUGGCGAAGGCGGUCUGCUGGACAGCAACUGACGCUGAGGCGCGAAAGCGUGGGGAGCAAACAGGAUUAGAUACCCUUGUAGUC
rnacentral:rRNA from 1 species